rnacentral:rRNA from 1 species
AUUGAACGCUGGCGGCAGGCCUAACACAUGCCAGUCGAGCGGAUGAAGGGAGCUUGCUCCUGGACUCAGCGGCGGACGGGUGAGUAAUGCCUAGGAAUCUGCCUGGUAGUGGGGGAUAACGUCCGGAAACGGGCGCUAAUACCGCAUACGUCCUGAGGGAGAAAGUGGGGGAUCUUCGGACCUCACGCUAUCAGAUGAGCCUAGGUCGGAUUAGCUAGUUGGUGGGGUAAAGGCCUACCAAGGCGACGAUCCGUAACUGGUCUGAGAGGAUGAUCAGUCACACUGGAACUGAGACACGGUCCAGACUCCUACGGGAGGCAGCAGUGGGGAAUAUUGGACAAUGGGCGAAAGCCUGAUCCAGCCAUGCCGCGUGUGUGAAGAAGGUCUUCGGAUUGUAAAGCACUUUAAGUUGGGAGGAAGGGCAGUAAGUUAAUACCUUGCUGUUUUGACGUUACCAACAGAAUAAGCACCGGCUAACUUCGUG